rnacentral:rRNA from 1 species
AUUGAACGCUGGCGGCAGGCCUAACACAUGCAAGUCGCACGAGUGGCGGACGGGGGCGUAAUGUCUGGGAAACUGCCUGAUAGAGGGGGAUAACUACUGGAAACGGUAGCUAAUACAGCAUACCAUCAGAUGUGCCCAGAUGGGAUUAGAUAGUAGGUGGGGUAACGGCUCACCUAGGCGACGAUCCCUAGCUGGUCUGAGAGGAUGACCAGCCACACUGGAACGGAGACACGGUCCAGAGUCCUACGGGAGGCAGCAGUGGGGAAUAUUGCACAAUGGGCGCAAGCUUGAUGCAGCCAUGCCGCGUGUAUGAAGAAGGCCUUCGGGUUGUAAAGUACUUUCAGCGGGGAGGCGUUACCCGCAGAAGAAGCACCGGCUAACGCCGGGCCAGCAGCCGCGGUAAUUC